GACGAACGCUGGCGGCGUGCUUAACACAUGCAAGUCGAACGGAAAGGCCCCUUUGGGGGUACUCGAGUGGCGAACGGGUGAGUAACACGUGAGUAACCUGCCCUUGACUUCGGGAUAACUUCAGGAAACUGGGGCUAAUACCGGAUAGGAAUCCUUGCUGCAUGGUGGGGGUUGGAAAGCUUCGGCGGUUUUGGAUGGACUCGCGGCUUAUCAGCUUGAUGGUGGGGUAGUGGCUUACCAAGGCUUUGACGGGUAGCCGGCCUGAGAGGGCGACCGGCCACAUUGGGACUGAGAUACGGCCCAGACUCCUACGGGAGGCAGCAGUGGGGAAUAUUGCACAAUGGGCGGAAGCCUGAUGCAGCAACGCCGCGUGCGGGAUGACGGCCUUCGGGUUGUAAACCGCUUUCAGCAGGGGCGAAGCUUGUGGUGACGGUACCUGCAGAAGAAGCACCGGCUAACUACGUG
rnacentral:rRNA from 1 species